rnacentral:snRNA from 1 species
AUGUGGGUCUGUGAUUUUGAGAU